rnacentral:rRNA from 1 species
GUCUACAGCCAUACCACUCACCCCCCAAAGCUCCUGAUCUCGUCUGAUCUUGGAAGCUAAGUGGGAUCAGGCCUAGGUAGUACUUGGAUGAGAGGAUGGCCUUGAACUUCUGAUC